rnacentral:rRNA from 1 species
UACGGAGGGUGCUAGCGUUAAUCGGAAUUACUGGGCGUAAAGGGCGCGUAGGCGGUUGUUUAAGUCUGUUGUGAAAUCCCCGGGCUCAACCUGGGAAUGGCAAUGGAUACUGGGCAGCUAGAGUGUGUCAGAGGAUGGUGGAAUUCCCGGUGUAGCGGUGAAAUGCGUAGAGAUCGGGAGGAACAUCAGUGGCGAAGGCGGCCAUCUGGGACAACACUGACGCUGAAGCACGAAAGCGUGGGGAGCAAACAGG